CCUACGGGAGGCAGCAGUGGGGAAUCUUGCGCAAUGGGCGAAAGCCUGACGCAGCCAUGCCGCGUGAAUGAUGAAGGUCUUAGGAUUGUAAAAUUCUUUCACCGGGGACGAUAAUGACGGUACCCGGAGAAGAAGCCCCGGCUAACUUCGUGCCAGCAGCCGCGGUAAUACGAAGGGGGCUAGCGUUGCUCGGAAUUACUGGGCGUAAAGGGAGCGUAGGCGGAUAGUUUAGUCAGAGGUGAAAGCCCAGGGCUCAACCUUGGAAUUGCCUUUGAUACUGGCUAUCUUGAGUAUGGGAGAGGUAUGCGGAACUCCGAGUGUAGAGGUGAAAUUCGUAGAUAUUCGGAAGAACACCAGUGGCGAAGGCGGCAUACUGGCCCAUUACUGACGCUGAGGCUCGAAAGCGUGGGGAGCAAACAGGAUUAGAUACCCUGGUAGUCCACGCUGUAAACGAUGAGUGCUAGUUGUCGGCAUGCAUGCAUGUCGGUGACGCAGCUACGACAUAAGACACUCCGCCGUGGGAGGUACGGUCGCGAGAUUAAACUAACAAUAGAAGUUAGACGGCGUGAGACGUGACCGAACGGACGACGACGAGGGAGGUUAGG
rnacentral:rRNA from 1 species